AUUGAACGCUGGCGGCAGGCCUAACACAUGCAAGUCGAACGGUAACAGGAAGAAGCUUGCUUCUUUGCUGACGAGUGGUGGACGGGUGAGUAAUGUCUGGGAAACUGCCUGAUGGAGGGGGAUAACUACUGGAAACGGUAGCUAAUACCGCAUAACGUCGCAAGACCAAAGAGGGGGACCUUCGGGCCUCUUGCCAUCGGAUGUGCCCAGAUGGGAUUAGCUAGUAGGUGGGGUAACGGCUCACCUAGGCGACGAUCCCUAGCUGGUCUGAGAGGAUGACCAGCCACACUGGAACUGAGACACGGUCCAGACUCCUACGGGAGGCAGCAGUGGGGAAUAUUGCACAAUGGGCGCAAGCCUGAUGCAGCCAUGCCGCGUGUAUGAAGAAGGCCUUCGGGUUGUAAAGUACUUUCAGCGGGGAGGAAGGGAGUAAAGUUAAUACCUUUGCUCAUUGACGUUACCCGCAGAAGAAGCACCGGCUAACUCCGUG
rnacentral:rRNA from 1 species